UAGCCCAACAAUGCUCUAUACGGCUAUCAAACAGGCCCUUAUUGUCAAUCACGAUAAUCUCUCUAUUCAAUCACGAUAAUCUCUCUCUAUUCAAUCACGAUUCAACAAGCAGCGUUUUCUGCCCUCAAUCACGGAAGAUGUGCAGGAAUAGGGUGGCUGGAGGUAGAAGCUUGAGGGAACCGGGCAGCCAUGGAAGGCGGCUGCAAGAUUUUUGCCGAUGGUUGAUGAGAUGGAAGUGCAGAGGAGUGGCCGGCUGUGCUCCAACACUCUACUGUUACCUUUUUCUUUCUCUUUGACUAUUGUGUUCCAAACUUGAGAAGUGGGCCAUGUAAGUCCCAACUUGUAAUAUACUAUGAAUUUUCCCCAAGCUGGGAACUAAGUUGUAUUCGUGAACUGUAAUUCAAAUACUGACUGCGAAUUCUAAACAUCGAAUUUCUGUAUGCUCGAUA